GGGGCUGUAGCUUAAUGGUCAAAGCGCUCCCCUGUCACGGGAGAGAGUGAGGGUUCGAGUCCCUUCAGCCUCG
rnacentral:tRNA from 1 species